GAACAAUGCCAGGGUUGUGAUCUCAGGCUCUUUGCAGUUGUUUAGUGAUAGGUUAAUCAGAUCUGGUGUCCAGAAAGCAGGGAGUCAGAAUCAAUACGAAAAAUCUGGCAAUGAACAGUUUGUGACUGAACUAAGCAAAUGGGUCUUCCACGAAAGAGGCCAUUUGAAGGCUGGUAGUCU